AUUGAACGCUGGCGGCAUGCCUUACACAUGCAAGUCGAACGGCAGCAUGAUCUAGCUUGCUAGAUUGAUGGCGCGUGGCGCGCGGGUGAGUCAUACAUCGGGACGUGCCCUGUGGUGGGGGAUAACUAGUCGAAAGAUUAGCUAAUACCGCAUACGACCUGAGGGUGAAAGUGGGGGACCGCAAGGCCGCAUGCUAUAGGAGCGGCCGAUGUCUGAUUAGCUAGUUGGUGGGGUAAAGGCUCACCAAGGCGAAGAUCAGUAGCUGGUCGGAGAGGACGACCAGCCAAACGGAGACUGAGACACGGCCCAGACCCCUAGGGGGGGCAGCAGUGGGGAAUUUUGGACAAUGGGCGAAAGCCUGAGCCAGAAAUGCCGGGGGGGGGAAGAAGGCCUUCGGGUGGUAAAGCACUUUUGUCCGGAAAGAAAUGGCUCUGGUUAAUACCUGGGGUCGAGGACGGUACCGGAAGAAUAAGGACCGGUAAACUACGU
rnacentral:rRNA from 1 species